GAAAGAUAGGGAAAGUGCAUAAUAAGAGAUCAUACAAAAAGAAGAGAUUUGUGUAUGUCCAAAAAGAAAAGAAAAAAAAGAGAAAAAUGCACUUGCCGAGACGUAAGACUCUAACACCUAUAAAAUGCGCACAAAGAAUUGAGUGGAAAAGAGUCGAAAAGUGAAUUUAACCCCCAGAGUAUAAGUGAUGCACGAAAAAAAAAAGAAAAAUCACACAACAUGAAUGCCGAGAUGAAAACCAUUUGUUAUCCAUUUCUGUGUUU
rnacentral:lncRNA from 1 species